rnacentral:lncRNA from 1 species
AACGGGAUGAGAGCGGCUAAGUCUCUGGAGCCCAAAGUCCCGAAGCCCCUGUUUGUCCUCGUCCAAGUCCCUUGAUGACCUCUGGCCUGAGCCCAGUUCUGCUCUGAAAAGUUCAUUUCCUGGAGGCCUGCGCGGGAAGGCGCAGGGGCCCCCCUGCUCCCUUCCUGCUAGCCUUGCUCCUGGCCAGAAUGGCUGGGACUGAAUCUGGCCAGGAAGGUGGUGAGACACCCGCCAUGGCUCUCCUUCCAAAGUCCCAGGGGGUCACGGGCACCCGGCUCAGCAGAGAGCCUCCCCGUCAUCUUAGAAGUGGUCCAACACAGUCCACGCUCAGCAACCCAGCUGCUCUCUUUCCUCUUUUUUCCAUGAGAGAUGUUGGUGGUGUUCCCCUCACCCUGGCAGCCAUCCCAAUCGGGGAUAGCCUGGUCUGCUCCACGGAACUCGGGCGGGGUGGGGGCUGGAGGGUGUUUUAGUUGAAGGACAAGGAAACCAGAAGUGAGACCUCCAGAAGGGGACAGGACAAUGGUAGCUGUUUGUCCUUUUGCUAAGUAGAAGGGGUCUUGGCUUGAAAUAAUAUCUGAUUUCUUUUCUCUUUCCCUGGCUCACUGCUCACUCCUUCAAGAGCCACUUAAGGUGGCCCAGAAGAAAAUGUACAAUUGGAGUCUCUGGUUGCAAAGACAGUUUUACCUGACUUGGGCAGUUGAUUUUGAGUUAAAGCUAUGUAGAGGAACACGUUUUUCUUAGGGGAAGAUGCACAGCUUCCCUACCCCUGACCUGCAUCCAUGCCUUCAUGCCUCCUUAUUUUAGAAGGUGAGACACAGAAAGCAAAGGUAGAACAAUUUGCCGGGAGCAGAUGGGUGGGUGUUUCAGAGUUGCUGGAACCUCAUGCUAAAACCAUUCUGUGGAUCUCAGAGAAAACUCAAGCAUGGGUCUUCAGCUUUUCAUGAAAUGAGCCUGGGCAUGAUUUUUUAAUGGAUGUCUCUCCAAAUGUAUAUGUGCAGCAGAGAAGUCAAGCUCGCUGAUGGGGGAAAGACAGCACAGUGGGAACGUGACCAGUGUAGGCGUUUUGAGAAGUGUUGCAAACAUCAACCACACAGUGCUUUUGGUCCUUUUGGAGUCUGAGAUCCUCUGUUUCUUCCUGUGGGUCUUUGCAGUUUCCAAAAGCAGCUACAAUCCUUGCCUCUCACUCUUUUGCCAUUUAUUCGGUUUACUGGGGUGAACAGGGUGGAGAUGUGGCCACUUAUCAAGGGAGGAAUGGAGAGAAAAGAUAAUUUGAAUAGAUAAGAGUUCCAGCAGGUGAUGGAUUUAUUGCUUUUCAAGAACUGCCUCCCCCCGCCCUCACCCCCUUUUCUCGAGCAAUAUUCAAAAGUGUGUGCUUGAGUGUGGACAGCUCCGCACCAAGUAUUUAAAAUGACAAGGUCCUCACCUUUAAAAAACGCUUCUUAAAGGAACUGGGAUGGCUUUUAAAUUUUAUUUGAUUUCAUUUUACCUCCACUGCUGUGUGUCAGGGCUAACGUAGCGGCAUUGUGGACUUCCCCAUCCCGCGCGUUCUGCUGUGAAAGUCGCUUGACUGCAUAGUUCGUAAUUGAUCUCGGAAAUGUGAAAGCCCAUAGCAGGAAGGAAAGACAGAAAUAUAACCAUUUCUAAUGGAUGCUCAGAAAGUGUGAUUUGAAAGCUCGGCCUUGCUGCUUUGAAAAUCAAACAGGCCCUGGUGUGUGUGUGGGGGUCGCAUCCCACUCAUGGACACAGCCUCCCUUCUGGAGUGGGGUCACUGGUCCCCUCGGGAUGUUUGUCCUUCUUUGGAAAUCCCAGCUCCCGGGGAGGACGCCCAGCAAAUAGGGAAGGGGGCCGGGGCAGUAGGGCAGCGGGGAGAAGAGCCUCAUUGGUUUUCAAAAGCCUCGUGAUUGAAACACACACACAUACACACCAAAAAGCCCAUGAAUGUUACAAAAGUCACAUUUUCGGACCGUUUUUCCCCUCCUGACACCAUUCUCUCCCUCUCUGUCUCCUGGUGGUUGUGCGGUGGUUGUUGUGCAGUGGUUUGUUCCCUUUGAUAAUUUUGGCCUCGUUCUCCGAGGCUGUUCCCUUCACAUCUCACUGAUGUUAUUUCAGCUGAUGAUCUCAGGUGGUUUGUUAACCUGUCUCCCUUUUACCCACGCUGCUUCCUCAGAUCCUGGAACCAUCUUUCCAUUUAUAUGGAAAAUCAGCACCUCUUCUCCCCAGCCUCAGCUUAAAACUUUGGAAUAGGUAAUACUGUUGAUUUUCACCAUCGAGCAUCUGCCUGUUAAUUACAGUUCUUAAUAUUAAUUAGCACUCAGGCCUCAUCCACACCCCCUCGCCCCGCCCCCAAACCCUAACGGUCCCCAAAGUACCCCCGGUGACUUCUCUGUGCCCCCCUCCCCUUUUCUGUCUUCCUCGCCUGCCAGCCCUUCUGCUCCUCCAAAGUCCAUCUUAUAAAUUUGGUGGUCCAGGCACUUGGGAACAGUGUAGUUUUGCCACUGCUCGUGUUUCCAUGGAAAUAAUUGAGAUGUAAUAAAUAGAGGCAUUCUGAGGUUACAGGUUCCUUGAUUCAGCUGAGACCACAUACAAGUGUAAAUUGCCGAGAUUUGUUUGGCUAAAUGUACAUGAUCUUGUAGGAAGGGCAAAACAAAUCCUUUAUAGGUUCUUCAGCUUUCUCGUGGAUUGGGGCAGCUGACAUUUAAAUCUUCAUAUUUAACUCCCGCCCCCCCCCACCGCAGUGAAGUCACCAACUCCCAGCUUUAGAAGGGUCUGUCUCACUCUAGAAAACAUCCUUUAUGUCUAGUAAUUACUGUUUAGAUUCUUCCACCUGUUUCCUUGCAAAAACUUGAUAAGCAAUAAAAUAAGUGGGCAUUUGGGGCAGAAGGACCCUGCUGGACGUUCACCCAUGAGGUGCAGAGUGUGCAUUAAUAAUGAAAGGUGCAAAAUGCUGAGGAGAGGGAGGAGGAGGAAGAGGAGGAGGGAGAGGGGGCGGGAGAACCCAGGGAGGAGGAAACUGGAGGGUAGCAUCUGACAGAGCCGAGCUGGAGACCAGGGCUGCAGAUCUGGUUCAGUCUAAUAGAAAGUUGCAAUAAUUGCUAUAUCGGUAGCCAACUCUUAAGCGGGUGGCUGUGGAAUUCUUCCCCUGAUGUAGGAUUUAAUAGUCUGGCAAUUAGAUGCAUUGAUUUCUCUUAACUGUUCAUUUGGAUGUGUAAACGAAAGAAACCUGCCACUGAGGCUCCUGGUGCAGUCAGGCUGCCUGGCUCUUGGAAAAAGGCUGAUUUGGCAACAUUUCUGUCUUUGAAUGACUAGACUGCCUUGCAUGUUUUUGGCAGAUGGUCUGUUAGGUACCAGAGGGAAAAGUCACAAAACACCUUGUUCUGAGUUCCAGGGGGACCUCCAGCUGGAAAUGGAGUGAGUUCUCGCUCUCUCCCUCUUAGGGGGUCACCUAGACCGCGGGCGCCCUUUCAGGCCCUGAAGACGUGUGGGUCAUGGUAUCUUGGACCCCUUGGCAACUGGUGGGCUGUGCGACUUUGGUGGCUUGGAGGGUGGGUAGAUAAUGAGCUCUCGCCAGCUUUAGCACCUCUUAACUCCCUGCUUCUGGACCUGCAGGUUUCUGGAAGCGCCACUAACUUCUGACAUGCAGGCGUCUAAAACUGUCUUGAUGGUAAGCAAGCAGAGGAAAGCUAGCUUUCCCAAUGGCCCUAUCUUUUUUUUUUUUUUUUUUUUAACCAGGGAUGGACUCACCUUUCCUGGACUGCGUUCAUGGCACACUGGUAUUUGCAAAGAAUACUGUCCUCACGUGGAGGAUGUGUUUGCAAAUAGACAUCAGGGCUCCUUUCUUAUCUGUGAUCCCCGGGGAAUUACAACAGAAGACCUUGGAAAGUGGUAGUGGGCUCCCGGUUACUGUGGCGGGCUGGGGAAAACCUUGGUACACCUUGCUUGGUGAAUUCGACCACUUCUGCAAAUUCCUGUCAGCUUGCAAAGGCAUUUUGUGUAUAAGCACGUUAGUCGGUAAUCAGAGUAGCUUUGCACCCAGAAUGGACUAAUUAACCUGGAUCGCUUAUAUCCCGAUUGAAGUUUUUGGCGCUGUCAGCUCCCCCAGACUGCGGGAGAGGUAGGGUGGAGUGGAGGGGGGGAAAUGCUGAUGGAAACUUUUGAUUCAUCGCUCACCUGCCAGGAUCCAUGGCAGCCAACGAUUGGGGUUGUACAGUCAGUAAAUAAAAAUACUUUACUUCUUUCAAGGAGCGCCAAUUAGCUGAUUGCUCCAUGUGGCUGUCUUGAAGGAGAACGCUGUUUUACCUAUCUUCUGGUACAAAGGUUUGAUUUUUAAUGUCUUGUGAAAAGGAUUCUCUUUGUCUUGAUUGAUGUCAGGAAUAAAAGCAUGAUGGUAAUAUCCCUUUGAAAGCUAUUGUAUUGUCGGCCCUGGCUGACAGCGGGAGGGCCUCCCAGCAUUAUAGAUUAGUGCUGUGAAAACACUGACAUUUUCUUUGUUACGUUGCUGUUGUUCUACUUGCAAAGUCAAUUACACAAUGUCGGAGCUUGGUUACCGGGGUUGACUUUGGAAGUAGCUCUGUCUUUUCAUUCUCUUCUUAAAGAUAUAAUUUUCCUUUGUUGUUGUCACUGUUGUUGUUUUGUUUUCUUUUGCUCUUUCUUUCUGACCUGCUUCCCUCUGGUGAUCACCCCCUCUGCCCCCCAAGAGUCUGAACGCAAUGAGCUAGGCAAACACACUCUGGUUUCAACUGUGACAAGUCAAAUUCAAAGAUUGCCCCAUCAUUAUCUCUGAAUUCUUCUGCUCAUUCACAUUUCAGUGGCUUCUUAUGGAUGUAGUGACUACAGCAGCCAAGAUGCAUUAAAAAAACCCAUCAAAUGAGAUUACCGUGUUGAUAAUCUCAUAUCAAGUGGGUGGCUCUGGAUUUGGGGUCCUUAGCGUUGGCGGAUUUGGGGAUUUCUUUCUUUCUUUCUUUUUUUUUUUUUCCUGAACUGGACUGAACCAGGUUCCUGGGUUGAUCGGACCCCCAACAAAUAGUUCUUUGCUGUGGACGUUUUAUAAGCAUUCUGAUCUUGGAGGCCAGGGCUGGUGAGUUUUGGACUUAGAGUCACGGAUGACCUCAUGGCAGGGAUAGAACGGUCUCGGAAGAGAGUCUUGUAACCCAUCCUUCUCCCAUUGCAGAUGGCAAAUGCGAGUUAUAAGGCUCUCCGAGGUGCCUUUACCAGGUGCCCUUGAACUCAGGAGUGAUUUUUCAUCCCUUUCUAAGUGUGUGAAAUCCUGCUGCUGAAAGUGAGGCAAGCCUGAAGUGUCCAAAACCCGAAAAUGGUCAGGGCGGAUAUUUUUAUAUACGCCCCUCCCACCCCCCACGCCCCAUGUCUGGCUUCUCCAGAAUGAAAACCCCCAAAUUCCUUAGUUCUCCGAACCAGGCUGCCAAAGAGGCGGCUACCUGAGAGCGGACAGAACUUGGGGCAAGGAGACUGCUGGCCCCAACUCCAGGUGACAGGGACCCAUCAGGGAACUCCGGCUGAGGACACUACUUGUGGGCCCCCAAAGUUAUUAUUAUGAACCGCCAGACAAGAGCCUGUGUUCGCCAGCAAUUUGUCAGGACUAAUUUUGUUUUUCUCCAAUAAUUGAAAAUUAAUGUCUUGAAGUGAAAGCAGAUGUUCAUGUCAUCUUCUGAAUUGGGAUAUAAAAUGGGGCUCUGUAGAUGGGCUCAGUAAUUUAACAGCAAUUUCCCUCUCUCAGCUAAUGGGGGUGCUGGGGGCUGACGUCAUCUGGGGCCGGGGCUGGGAGACCGAGAUGAGAACGCAUCAGCUGUGCCAGUUGUGCUGUCGUGUUUUGGAGGCAGAGUAGGUAAAUAAAAAUAUUUCCUGGGGCUGUGAAACUUGGAGAAUUCAUUGUUUUGAAUACUCGUUCACACGAGAGGUAUUUAUUGAGAUAAUUCAACGCUUUAUGCUGGAAAAGGUGAGGGAGGCUUGGUUUGGGAAGAAGGUGGAUUCUUCGAGGCUAGAGCAUCCUCAGCUGGGGUUCCCAUUGCGGCUCUGUGGUAAUAAAUCCAACUGGUAAUCAUGAAGACACAGGUUCGGUCCUUGGCCUCGAUCAGUGGGUUAGGCUGUGAACUGAGAUGUAGGUCGCAGAUGCAGCUCAGAUCCAGCGUUGCUGUGGGUGUCGUGUAUGCCUGCAGCUGCAGUGCUGAUUCCACCCCUAGCCUGGGAACUUCCAUAUGCUGCAGGUACGGCCCUAAAAAAAAAAAAAAAAAAAAAUCGAAGUAGAUAUACAUAAUGUAAACUUUACCUCUUAACCAUUUCUAAGUGUCCUGUUCAGUGGCAUUAAUUACAUUUGCGCUGUUGUGCAACCAUCACCACUGUGAACUUUAACUUUUAGCCAGUGUCCAGGUACUGGUGGACUAGGGGGGAAGUCUUCACCCAUCACCCUCCGAGGACGCCAUCAAGUUCAAGGCCUCCAUUUUAUGGGGAGAAAUAAGAAGCAGAGGCUCUUGGAGUUCCCGUCAUGGCGCAGUGGUUAAUGAAUGAAUCCGACUAGGAGCAAUGAGGUUGCGGGUUCAAUCCCUGGCCUUGUUCAGUGGGUUAAGGAUCCGGCGUUGCUGUGUGCUGUGGUGUAGGUUGCAGAUGCGGCUCGGAUCCCGAGUUGCUGUGGCUCUGGCAUAGACUGGCGGCUACAGCUCUGAUUCGAUCCUUAGCCUGGGAACUUUCAUAUGCUGUGGGAGUGGCCCUA